GUGUUCGCUUCAGCAGCACAUAUAAUAAAAUUGGAAUGAUACAGAGAAGAUUAGCAUGGUCCCUGUGCAAGAAUGGACAGAAUUGUAACUCCCAGUACCUCAAU